AUUGAACGCUGGCGGCAGGCCCAACACAUGCAAGUCGAGCGGCAGCGGGAAAGUAGCUUGCUACUUUUGCCGGCGAGCGGCGGACGGGUGAGUAAUGCCUGGGGAUCUGCCCAGUCGAGGGGGAUAACUACUGGAAACGGUAGCUAAUACCGCAUACGCCCUACGGGGGAAAGCAGGGGACCUUCGGGCCUUGCGCGAUUGGAUGAACCCAGGUGGGAUUAGCUAGUUGGUGAGGUAAUGGCUCACCAAGGCGACAAUCCCUAGCUGGUCUGGGAGGAUGAUCAGCCACACUGGAACUGAGACACGGUCCAGACUCCUACGGGAGGCAGCAGUGGGGAAUAUUGCACAAUGGGGGAAACCCUGAUGCAGCCAUGCCGCGUGUGUGAAGAAGGCCUUCGGGUUGUAAAGCACUUUCAGCGAGGAGGAAAGGUUGGUAGCUAAUAACUGCCAGCUGUGACGUUACUCGCAGAAGAAGCACCGGCUAACUCCGUGCCAGCCGCCGCAGUAACAC
rnacentral:rRNA from 1 species